GAUGAACGCUGGCGGCGUGCCUAAUACAUGCAAGUCGAGCGAAUGGAUUGAGAGCUUGCUCUUAUGAAGUUAGCGGCGGACGGGUGAGUAUCACGUGGGUAACCUGCCCAUAAGACUGGGAUAACUCCGGGAAACCGGGGCUAAUACCGGAUAACAUUUUGAACCGCAUGGUUCGAAAUUGAAAGGCGGCUUCGGCUGUCACUUAUGGAUGGACCCGCGUCGCAUUAGCUAGUUGGUGAGGUAACGGCUCACCAAGGCAACGAUGCGUAGCCGACCGGAGAGGGUGAUCGGCCACACUGGGACUGAGACACGGCCCAGACUCCUACGGGAGGCAGCAGUAGGGAAUCUUCCGCAAUGGACGAAAGUCUGACGGAGCAACGCCGCGUGAGUGAUGAAGGCUUUCGGGUCGUAAACUCUGUUGUUAGGGAAGAACAAGUGCUAGUUGAAUAAGCUGGCACCUUGACGGUACCUAACCAGAAAGCCACGGCUAACUACGUGCCAGCCGCCGCGGUAA
rnacentral:rRNA from 1 species